AGAAUUCAUGCCAGGCUUAAAUACACGAUUGGGAAUCCAUUUAUUACAUUACUAUUACAUUACAAAGGUCGACUGCAGGAAUAACUAAGACAAAGGGAUUCCUAAUCAAACAUCAUGUAAAUGGGGGUGCACAUCUGUACACUAAAUAAAAUUUAUCAGCUAAAUGAAACAAGGGAAAGAUAUUUUAAUCAUUAAAUACUUGCAUUCCAAAGUCACAGCUUCAUAUUACAUCUGUAUACCUGGAAAAUGGAAAGAAAGUGAGGAUGGAGGUUCAGCAAAUAUGCAGCACAAUAAUAGCAACACAACCACUCCAAAUAAUCCCAGAUCCCAUGCAAUUGAAGAUAAAUGACAAGAUAAUUUUUAACUCGAAGAAAUGAGGUAAAAGGAGGCCAAAAAAUGACUUCAAAUCAUCAUAUAACCAAACUCAAAUCAAAGAGUACCAAAUAGCUCGAAAGUUUUCAGAAUGGGAAGCUCUUUAGAAAGUUAAUGAUAGAUCCAAUAUAAUAGUAAAAUUUUCAGCAGUAUGUAUAUAUUUU
rnacentral:lncRNA from 1 species